rnacentral:rRNA from 1 species
AUUGAACGCUGGCGGCAUGCCUUACACAUGCAAGUCGAACGGUAACAGGUCUUCGGAUGCUGACGAGUGGCGAACGGGUGAGUAAUACAUCAGAACGUGCCUAGUAGUGGGGGAUAACUACUCGAAAGAGUGGCUAAUACCGCAUGAGAUCUACGGAUGAAAGCAGGGGAUCGCAAGACCUUGUGCUACUAGAGCGGCCGAUGGCAGAUUAGGUAGUUGGUGGGAUAAAAGCUUACCAAGCCGACGAUCUGUAGCUGGUCUGAGAGGACGAUCAGCCACACUGGGACUGGGACACGGCCCAGACUCCUACGGGAGGCAGCAGUGGGGAAUUUUGGACAAUGGGCGCAAGCCUGAUCCAGCAAUGCCGCGUGCAGGAUGAAGGCCUUCGGGUUGUAAACUGCUUUUGUACGGAACGAAAAGCCCUGGGUUAAUACCCUGGGGUCAUGACGGUACCGUAAGAAUAAGCACCGGCUAACUACGUGCCAGCCGCCGCUGUAAAAC